rnacentral:rRNA from 1 species
AUGAACGCUAGCUACAGGCUUAACACAUGCAAGUCGAGGGGCAGCAUGGUCUUAGCUUGCUAAGGCCGAUGGCGACCGGCGCACGGGUGAGUAACACGUAUCCAACCUGCCGUCUACUCUUGGACAGCCUUCUGAAAGGAAGAUUAAUACAAGAUGGCAUCAUGAGUCCGCAUGUUCACAUGAUUAAAGGUAUUCCGGUAGACGAUGGGGAUGCGUUCCAUUAGAUAGUAGGCGGGGUAACGGCCCACCUAGUCUUCGAUGGAUAGGGGUUCUGAGAGGAAGAUCCCCCACAUUGGAACUGAGACACGGUCCAAACUCCUACGGGAGGCAGCAGUGAGGAAUAUUGGUCAAUGGGCGAGAGCCUGAACCAGCCAAGUAGCGUGAAGGAUGACUGCCCUAUGGGUUGUAAACUUCUUUUAUAAAGGAAUAAAGUCGGGUAUGGAUACCCGUUUGCAUGUACUUUAUGAAUAAGGAUCGGCUAACUCCGUGCCAGCAGCCGCGGUAAUACGGAGGAUCCGAGCGUUAUCCGGAUUUAUUGGGUUUAAAGGGAGCGUAGAUGGAUGUUUAAGUCAGUUGUGAAAGUUUGCGGCUCAACCGUAAAAUUGCAGUUGAUACUGGAUAUCUUGAGUGCAGUUGAGGCAGGCGGAAUUCGUGGUGUAGCGGUGAAAUGCUUAGAGAUCAUACAGAACAUCGAUUGCGAAGGCAGCUUACCAAACUAUAUCUGACGUUGAGGCACGAAAGCGUGGGGAGCAAACAGGAUUAGAUACCCUGGUAGUCCACACGGUAAACGAUGAAUACUCGCUGUUUGCGAUAUACGGCAAGCGGCCAAGCGAAAGCGUUAAGUAUUCCACCUGGGGAGUACGCCGGCAACGGUGAAACUCAAAGGAAUUGACGGGGGCCCGCACAAGCGGAGGAACAUGUGGUUUAAUUCGAUGAUACGCGAGGAACCUUACCCGGGCUUAAAUUGCAGAUGAAUUACGGUGAAAGCCGUAAGCCGCAAGGCAUCUGUGAAGGUGCUGCAUGGUUGUCGUCAGCUCGUGCCGUGAGGUGUCGGCUUAAGUGCCAUAACGAGCGCAACCCUUGUUGUCAGUUACUAACAGGUUCUGCUGAGGACUCUGACAAGACUGCCAUCGUAAGAUGUGAGGAAGGUGGGGAUGACGUCAAAUCAGCACGGCCCUUACGUCCGGGGCUACACACGUGUUACAAUGGGGGGUACAGAGGGCCGCUACCACGCGAGUGGAUGCCAAUCCCAAAAACCUCUCUCAGUUCGGACUGGAGUCUGCAACCCGACUCCACGAAGCUGGAUUCGCUAGUAAUCGCGCAUCAGCCACGGCGCGGUGAAUACGUUCCCGGGCCUUGUACACACCGCCCGUCAAGCCAUGGGAGCCGGGGGUACCUGAAGUGCGUAACCGCGAGGAGCGCCCUAGGGUAAAACUGGUGACUGGGGCU